rnacentral:rRNA from 1 species
GAGUUUGAUCCUGGCUCAGAACGAACGCUGGCGGCAUGCCUCAUACAUGCAAGUCGAACGAAGCCUUCGGGCUUAGUGGCGAACGGGUGCGUAACGCGUGGGAACCUGCCCUUAGGUUCGGAAUAACAGUUAGAAAUGACUGCUAAUGCCGGAUAAUGUCUUCGGACCAAAGAUUUAUCGCCUUUGGAUGGGCCCGCGUAGGAUUAGGUAGUUGGUGUGGUAACGGCGCACCAAGCCGACGAUCCUUAGCUGGUCUGAGAGGAUGAUCAGCCACACUGGGACUGAGACACGGCCCAGACUCCUACGGGAGGCAGCAGUAGGGAAUAUUGGACAAUGGGCGAAAGCCUGAUCCAGCAAUGCCGCGUGAGUGAUGAAGGCCUUAGGGUUGUAAAGCUCUUUUACCCGGGAUGAUAAUGACAGUACCGGGAGAAUAAGCUCCGGCUAACUCCGUGCCAGCAGCCGCGGUAAUACGGAGG